rnacentral:rRNA from 1 species
AGUGAACGCUGGCGGUAUGCCUAACACAUGCAAGUCGAACGGCAGCACAGUAAGAGCUUGCUCUUACGGGUGGCGAGUGGCGGACGGGUGAGGAAUACAUCGGAAUCUACUUUUUCGUGGGUGAUAACGUAGGGAAACUUACGCUAAUACCGCAUACGACGUACGGGUGAAAGCAGGGGAUCUUCGGACCUUGCGCGAUUGAAUGAGCCGAUGUCGGAUUAGCUAGUUGGCGGGGUAAAGGCGCACCAAGGCGACGAUCCGUAGCUGGUGUGAGAGGAUGAUCAGCCACACUGGAACUGAGACACGGUCCAGACUCAUACGGGAGGCAGCAGUGGGGAAUAGUGGACAAUGGGCGCAAGCCUGAUCCAGCCAUACCGAGUGGGUGAAGAAGGCCUUCGGGUUGUAAAGCCCUUUUGUUGGGAAAGAAAAGCAGCAGGUUAAUACGCCGCUGUUCUGACGGUACCCAAAGAAUAAGCACCGGCUAACUUCGUG